AACGAACGCUGGCGGCAUGCCUAACACAUGCAAGUCGAACGAGAUCUUCGGGUCUAGUGGCGCACGGGUGCGUAACGCGUGGGAAUCUGCCCUUUGGUUCGGAAUAACAGUUGGAAACGACUGCUAAUACCGGAUGAUGACGAAAGUCCAAAGAUUUAUCGCCAGAGGAUGAGCCCGCGUAGGAUUAGCUAGUUGGUGUGAUAAAGGCGCACCAAGGCGACGAUCCUUAGCUGGUCUGAGAGGAUGAUCAGCCACACUGGGACUGAGACACGGCCCAGACUCCUACGGGAGGCAGCAGUGGGGAAUAUUGGACAAUGGGCGAAAGCCUGAUCCAGCAAUGCCGCGUGAGUGAUGAAGGCCUUAGGGUUGUAAAGCUCUUUUACCCGGGAUGAUGAUGACAGUACCGGGAGAAUAAGCUCCGGCUAACUCCGUGCCAGCCGCCGCGGUAA
rnacentral:rRNA from 1 species